GACGAACGCUGGCGGCGUGCUUAACACAUGCAAGUCGAACGGAAAGGCCCUGCUUUUGUGGGGUGCUCGAGUGGCGAACGGGUGAGUAACACGUGAGUAACCUGCCCUUGACUUUGGGAUAACUUCAGGAAACCGGGGCUAAUACCGGAUAGGAGCUCUUGCUGCACGGUGGGGGUUGGAAAGUUUCGGCGGUUGGGGAUGGACUCGCGGCUUAUCAGCUUGUUGGUGGGGUAGUGGCUUACCAAGGCUUUGACGGGUAGCCGGCCUGAGAGGUUGACCGGCCACAUUAGGACUGAGAUACGGCGCAGAAUCCUAGGGGAGGCAGCAGGGGGGAAUCUUACACAAUGGGCGGAAGCCUGGUGCGGAAACGCCGCGUGCGGGAUGACGGCCUUCGGGUUGGAAACCGCUUUCGCCUGUGACGAAGCGUGAGUGACGGUAAUGGGUAAAGAAGCACCGGCUAACUACGUG
rnacentral:rRNA from 1 species